CCUACGGGAGGCAGCAGUGGGGAAUCUUGCACAAUGGAGGAAACUCUGAUGCAGCGAUGCCGCGUGAGUGAAGAAGGCCUUUGGGUUGUAAAGCUCUUUUGUAGGGGAAGAUAAUGACUGUACCCUAAGAAUAAGGUCCGGCUAACUUCGUGCCAGCAGCCGCGGUAAUACGAAGGGACCUAGCGUAGUUCGGAAUUACUGGGCGUAAAGCGCGCGUAGGCCGUUGAGUUAGUUAAUUGUGAAAUCCCAAAGCUUAACUUUGGAACUGCAAUUAAAACUGCUCGACUAGAGUUUGAUAGAGGAAAGCGGAAUACAUAGUGUAGAGGUGAAAUUCGUAGAUAUUAUGUAGAACACCAGUUGCGAAGGCGGCUUUCUGGAUCAACACUGACGCUGAGGCGCGAAAGUAUGGGUAGCAAAGAGGAUUAGAUACCCUCGUAGUCCAUACCAUAAACGAUGAUUGCUAGAUGUUGGAAAUUUAUUUUCAGUAUCGCAGCUAACGCAUUAAGCAAUCCGCCUGGGGAGUACGACCGCAAGGUUAAAACUCAAAGGAAUUGAACGG
rnacentral:rRNA from 1 species